GCGUUGGUGGUAUAGUGAUGAGCAUAGCUGCCUUCCAAGCAGUUGACCCAGGUUCGAUUCCUGGCCAACGCA
rfam:Phaethon lepturus contig24939, whole genome shotgun sequence.